AUGCUCAUUCUUUUUCCAACCUUUUGUAUGAUUCUGUUGUUCUUAGGUAUAAAAUCUUGGAAAUAAUACUUUGUCUUAAGGUUUUUACUUUGAUAGUUGUGGAUCCCAUGCUUGCAACAGGUAUAUAUAUUCCUGACUAGAAAGUAGAUGUUUCUCGUAUACGUGAGUUUUAAGUUACACGUACAUAGGAUUGAAUCAACAUGCAAUAUAUGAGUUAUAUUUAUUUUUAGUUUACUGGUGGUGCAUGGUAGGCUGGUAGUAAGUGAUGCCAUUUUUUCUUCUGUAUGUUUGUGACAUUACAAAAGAAAUGUAUCUUAGGAUAUGGAGUAUCAUUCGGGUUAUUUUCCUAAACUGAAGUCAACAUUCAAACUCAUUUUAAUUUACUCAUGCUGAUAUGCAGUUUUGAAUGUUUUUAGCCAAAGAUUCUGAUUAUAAUUUUUUAUAAAUGUGGCUGCUAGUAGAUAAACUCCAAUAUUGAGAUUGAAUGGCCUAGUUUUGUUUUAUAUUUUGGUUUAAUUUAUAUGCCAUCUGAUUAAUUUUUUUUAUAUCUUGGCUGUUAUAGUGAGUUCAUGUAUUGAAUAAGUUGUUUAGGUAUUGAAUAAGUUCUGUAACAUUUAUAUGUGCUUUCGUUGCUCCAAUGCUUGCUGCUUGGUUUAGAUUGAAAUAUCCCAUAUUGUUUCUAUGAUAUAGUUUCCUAGGAUUUCAAGGUCUAAAUUAUUCCGUCGUGGCGUGUCACCUCUGCUGCCCUCUCUUAUAAUCGGCUACCUCUCAUUAUAAACAAUCAUUCCCCUUUUCUAAUCUUUCUAUGAUCUCUAUCUUAUAUAUAGGUUGAUAAACAAAUCAGGUCUCUAACUAGUAUUCGGUUCAUUAGAUCUUCUUGUUAAUAAGUUCCAAUACAGUCGAUCGAAGAAGAAAGUGGCGGCAAUGGAGAUGCGAAAUAAAAUAAGUGGAGACGAUGGAGAUGGUCUCAUAUACAUAUCAGAGAUUCGUCUUUAUAGGGCCUUAUAUCGAUAUGUUCUUUGUUGUAGAUAGCCUAGUAGAUGAAACUUGCAAAUUGGCUGAGCAUUAUUAGUUUCCCAUGCUGUCUGAUCUUUCUAGGCAUAUAUUUGAUCCAAGAUCAGUGGUUAGUAAUUCUGCACUUGUGGUUUUAUUCAAUUUGUCUGGUCUUUUGGCUUUUAUAUAUAUUUCUUUAACUUUAGUUUUUCUGUGUCUGUGUUGUUGGAUGUUGACUGUAAUUUUUAGAAUUACUCUCCAAAGAGAGAUAUUAGAAAUUUAAGUGGCAUGUCGCCUGCAUAUGUCAUUAGGAUUGUAUUGCUUUCUAAUUCUUUUCUUUCCAACAUUGGCUUUAGAAUAUGCUGGUAUAUAUGUUAGAGUGAGGUGCUCAAAAUGACACUAGUGACUUUUGCUAUACCCCUGAAGAAAAAAGAAGGAUUGUUAAUACCUGUAUUUUUAGCUGUUAUUAUAUAGAUUAUGAUCAUAUAUAAAGACCCAUGUGUGCAUAAUGCAACAUGGGUGUUAUCUACAAAAUUCAUGGGGAUCUGGAGUCAGAAAUUUCUUGUUAUGAAAGUUGCUUAGUUAAUUACUUGUUCAAUAAGCUUUUCCCUCUGAUGCGUUGUUUAUGCUUGUAUGUGCAGGUAUCUGACUGUCUCUCCAAACUUUGUGAUGGAAAAAUAUAAAAUGGCCAAUGCAUUAAGUGAUUUAGGCACAAAGAUUUGGCUUCUUUCUGGUGACGAUAUAAAUAUGAGUAUAAGAAAUAGAGAUAUGCUUAUUUUAUCCAGUAUGAACAAUACAAAUGACUUAGGGGCAUUGAAUUGGAAUCAAAUUCUUAAAAGAUGAUUUAAUUUGUCUGCUGAUUAAUGGUGAGUAAUGAUGACCGUGAACACACCUUAAAUCAGCUUCUCACUGUAAGACUCUGAAAUCUAGCUUACUUUUUCUGAAUCACUUUUAAAUGAUGUUAUUAUAGCUAUUUUGUUGCUAUUCUCGGUUGGCUCUUUGUAUGCUUUUGUGGCAGGUUUGUGGUGGUGGAUUAAAUGAGCCAUACGUUGAGCUGAAGAGGCUUGUGAAUUCACAAGAAAAGUUGUACCAGAUGGCUAGCUAGUUGCAUAUUUAAUAUGUUUAGUAUUUUUGUAAGGCAUAAUAGUAUAGAUAGAGCAGUUGUUGAAUUUUGACUAUAUUCAAAUCUUGUAUGAAUUCUUUUUUAUGAUAAUAAUAUAAAAUUAAAUAUUUUGGAUGAUAUAUAA